rnacentral:lncRNA from 1 species
CUUUGAGGUGUUCUGGGGAAUCUGUGGCUGAGAUCCGUGGGAAGGAAGACUAGGGAAGCCAAGUUGGGAUCCCAUUGAUGCCACAAAUUUAUAUGGACCAUUUGAACAGGCAUCUCAUUUUUGAUGUGCAUCUGUAUGCUCACUUGUAAAAUGGCUAAAAAGAAAAAUCUACCUCACAGGUACUGUGAGAGCAAAUCACAUUUGCUAAUAAGUAUUUUGAGAUCUUUUAGUUUAAGAGGUGCUACAUAAUGCCAUGUAUCAUGCAUGAUGCUAAAUGCUAAAAUGAUUUACAGUAAUGAUAAAGAUGGUUAUCCAUUGUGGCAGCAUCAUCCUAAUAUAACAAUUUACCAAAAUAAAGAUUGACUGUGAACUAUCAGCGUACCUAAUUCUUCCAAGACUUGAUGUUUCCUUGGCUAUAAGUUAGUUGAUUGGGGAAGCUUCAGUUUCUCCCCCACACUCUCUCAUUUUGGUGAAGAAUUUUUCACUUCAGUGUGUUGCCUUGGCAUCCCAAGAUGUUUAAAGCAAAAAAAAAAAAAUCUAUUUUGCUUUGGGGAGGAGCUUUGCAUAGGUCUUGCAAAACACAACUUAAAUCGUAGGAAACAUUUGCCCCGUAUUCUUAAAACUCUUUAGAACAAGUAGGGCUAAUCUACUCCCUCAGAGGACGAAUAAGCACUCAGCAAAUCUCCACAGUGGCACAUCUACCGUUGAUGCACCACUCCUUGUCGUGAUGCAAAGAAAGCUGGAAAAGUUGCUCAUUUGAGCUAUUUUCUUUGCACCUUGACCUCUGCAAAACCCCCAUAGAAGCUGAUAGUAAUGGGGAGUCAAAGGAGUAAACGGAGUCCCAUGAUCACGUAAUCCCUUGCUAGGAAACACUUAUAUUUUAUCAUCCCCAAAGUACUGACUAAUAUAGGGCUUCCCAUCCUUUAAUAUGAUGGUGUCAAGUGACCUGGGAGAAGAUGAAGCAAGACAAGGUGAGCCACCGUCCCACCAUCUAGCCUCAAACCCUAUGAGCUCCAAUGGCUGGCUAGCCUCCCACCCUCGGGCCUCUUUGGCCUCGCAGCAGCAAAGCUGAAUGCAGUCUCUGUCUCCUGCCCUGGCCUUGCAUCUCGUCCAUGCUCAGCCCAGCCACUUUCCAUGUCCAAAAUCACACACUAUAAUAACCACAUCUGUACAUCUAUGAAUUGCUUUAUAUGUGUGUGCGAAGUAUGUAUAGAGCCCUAAUCUUGAAAAGGAGCAAAAAAAAUCAACCAGAAAAUCACUUGUCUUAAAGGACUGUUUCUUAACUUUUUUUAUGCUACAUAAUGCCCGUAUGACAAACAUGUAAAUAGACAUCCAAGAGUUCAUGUACAUAUUUUAAAGGCGCUUUUCUUGUCACCUCAAUUGUAUGUACGGCUAGAACCUGCUUGAUAUGUAACAUUUUCCUCUGCAUGGAACUUGACGAGGCAAGGCCAUUUGUCCAGUAUCUCAAUAGCCUUAAGCAUGUUUGUUCGCUCUUUGGGUUUUUUUUUUUUUUUUUGGAUGUUCAAAAAGAAAAAAAAUGGUUAAUUUGUCAAGGAAAAGCUCUAAUUUUCUACUUUUGUUAAUUCUAUGACAAGAAGCUGGUCAAAUUAUUGUCAUGGUUAUUUAUUAAGCCAUUUAUAACAUUUGUUUAAGAACAAUAUUUCAUAAUAAUGGCAGUAUUCUGGGGCUGGGGGUUUUCACUCAGUGGUAAAGCACUUGCCUAGCAUGCAAAGGGCUUUGGGUUCAGUCCUCAGCACUGCAAUAAUACAGUUAAAAUAAUGUCAGCCCUACUGUGCCAGAAGUCACUCAAAGAAUUUUUCUAAGUACUGUCUGGUUCCCCAUUAUUUCUCCAUUAUGUACUGUAUAACGUCAGCACCUAACCUUUAAAGUUUCUUCUUGUAUUUCUUAGAGGAAAAGAUGCUUUCUCUUUGGUGCCUCAUUUAUGUGGCUUUGUGACCCCCUUGGAGCAGUUUCAAUCUACAACAAUGUACUUUUAAAUAACCAGAUUCAAAACAUGAAGAUCAUUUUUUGAUUUGAAUUAAAUAUGGAAGGGCAAAACCCCUUGUGUGAUAAGAAAUGGAGGGGAAACAAACUCUUUACAGAGAAGUCACAGAAGGAGUUUUUCAAUCAAAUUUCUUCUAACAAAAGACAAUGGGAUAUUUAUGUACAGUGUGUGGAAUUCAUUUUCUACCUUUCCUAAUAUGUGCGUUCAAAGCGGGGAAUUGAUUGUAUCAUUUCUGUAAAGGGGAAGAUACUUUUUAUAAGCCACAGGUAACUUGUGAAUGAAAGACGAAAUUCACUGGAGACGCUUGAUGAUAAUUGACAUUUAGGUAUAUUGUUAUAUAUGACUGAUUGUAUUUAUGUAUUUAUUUGCUCAAAAUUGUACAUAUGGUUUUGCCAAAAGUAACUGUGUGUUAAAGUGCACUCUUUGGGUUUGUAGUACUAUUUAGGGUUACAAGGGUUGCCAAUCAAGCUGCUAAUCAGAAUACUAUUUUUUUGUAUCGGUGUUACAACAUGUGACGAAUAGACGACACUGUCUUUUCAUUCAUCCUCUUUCCCUUCGUCUUGAAAUGUAAAAUGUUGGUUGAAAGCACGAUGCAAUUGUACAGGCCCAUCUGUCAAGAGGAAGAUCAUGGUUUCAUAAGACUGAUUUUUUUUUUUUAAAAACACCUGGGACAAAUAAACAGAAGAAGAACUCAGC